AUCACCUGGGGAUCUUUUAAAUGCAGAUUCUGGUUUAGUAGGUCUGGGAUGGAGCCUGGGAUUCUGCAUUUCUAACAAGAUCCCAAGUGAUGCUGA
rnacentral:pre_miRNA from 1 species